CAUCGAGCUGCUCGGGCGGAUGGGGGAGGAGGGCUUGGCUUGGGGGUGCCUUUAUCUGUUUGAAUGGAUGGGGUUGCAGGAGCCGUCGCUGGUGACGCCGAGGGCUUGCUCGGUGCUGUUCCCUGUACUGGGUAGAGCGGGGAAAGGGGGACAAGCUGAUGGUUCUCUUUCAGAACUUGCCCAAGGGGAAGAGAUUCAGGGACCCUGCCAUGUCUGGCCUUGCAUCCUGUGAGAGCCUUGUGGAGGAUGCUAGGGUUUCGGUGCCUCGGCUACCGAAGAAUACCUAUAGUUGGAUGACACUUCCUGCGGUGCCUCAAGCCCUCUCUUAUGGCAGAAUCUAUCGCACUUUUAGAAGGACUCAAGGCUAUACAGAUGCUCCAAUUGCAAUCAUUUAACAUCGAAGGUGGUCAACCUAGCUAAGGGAAUCAAACCUGUAUGUAACACCCUGGUCUUUGAGGAACACAAUUUUGAAUAUUUUCUACCUUUGUAAGCCAUGAAUUGGCUCAGUUUCA